AUACGGAGGGUGCGAGCGUUACUCGGAGUCACUGGGCGUAAAGCGUCCGUAGGCGGUCGGGUAAGUCGGGUGUGAAAGCCCCGGGCUCAACCUGGGAAGUGCACCCGAUACUGCUCGACUCGAGUGCGAGAGAGGAUGGCGGAAUUCCCGGUGUAGCGGUGAAAUGCGUAGAGAUCGGGAGGAACACCAGUGGCGAAGGCGGCCAUCUGGCCCGCAACUGACGCUGAGGGACGAAAGCGUGGGGAGCAAACAGAAUUAGAAACCCUAGUAGUCC
rnacentral:rRNA from 1 species